rnacentral:misc_RNA from 1 species
AAAAAAAAAAAAAACACAAAGAAAGAGGGCGAGAAAAAAGAAAAAGGCGAGUACUUAGUCGUGUUCCUAGCAAAGACAUGGGGUGGGGGUUGUCCUGUGGAUAACUCUUGAGUCUUAGCUCUGUUUAUUUCUUAGAAAAUAACUUGUAUGUGGAAAACAUUUUCUGUAAAGAUAAAUUAUUUUCUACUGCUUCAUUAUGAUACUGAAAACCAACCGUAUAUUAGUUUGUGACAUUUGGAGUGCCUUGUAAGAAGUGAAAAUGUUUUAGCCUAUUUAACUCCGUAGUUUUUAUUUCUAUUUUUAUCUUUAGUUGAAUAAGAGUGAAAGUACAUUAAAAGGUGGUAAAUUUUGAUGGUCACUGUUAACUGGUGACAGCCGGCAGUGUUAGGUGGUGAUUAAUCAAAUAAUCGGUAUGUGUCUAUUUGAUUCCCUUAAAGAUUCCUUCUCUUUUUAUAAGUUUUUGAAAGUCCAAAAGCUUACUUCCCAAUUUGAAAAUGAGAAAUAGUUUUCCAUAUCACUCGGAAAGCAUUUUUCCAUUAACUAUUUUCCUAUGUACCAUAGAGCUAAACACUGGAAAAUUUAGAAAACUGUUCCCAUAAGAAUAUGUUCUGUGGAACAUAUGAAGGCUUACUCUUUGACAAUUUUGCUUGGAGUGGUUACUACAAGGCUAGAAUCUGUAACAUCUUGGUCACAAGCCUAAGAAUUCUAUUGUUAUACCUGAAACUGACCUUUAUUUCUAAUGUAUUUUUUGGGAACACAUUUUGUCAUUUUGUUUGCUUUGUGCUUGAUUUUAUAAGGAAAAAUGCUAAUGUAGUUUAGAGUGGAUGUUGAAUAUCUUUGAUUGGUUUGUUUCAGAGUCAUAAAUGCUGAUUACUUUUUUGGUUCCUUAUGAAUUCAAUAGGCAAUGUAAGGAUGUUUAGAUAUGAUUUAAUUGAUAAGCAUGAAUGAAUACUAUUUUUAUAAUUGGCAGCUUGAUUUAGUGGUCUGGAUUUCUGCAAGCCCAUGGCAGUAUAAGCCAUGGCUGUGACAGGCUUAAGUCCUGCACCUUAGAUAUUCUUCAUUUUGUUAAUUUGAGCUUGUUCUUACACCUCCAACUUUUAGAUUAGGGACAUGCAUAUUUUAUACUGCAAUCAUGCUUGAUGAGCUUUAACGGAAUGCUAUGCUAGCAUGUCAAUUUGAAAAGCUGGAUUCAGUGGAUUGGCUUAGGAUGGGGUUCUAUCAAAGUUGAAAAGGCAGAUCUGUUACAAAGUGAAUGAUGACAACCAGUAAGGUUUUAAAAGGAAAGCUAGGACAAUUUAUGUAAUCAAUGGUGACGCAGACAUUUCCAGUUUUAGUUGUGAGUUGGUUGUCACUUCUAAGGAUUUUAACAUUUAAGUCACUUGAGCAUUUUGCUCAUCAAGUUUGUGACAACAUGGAUCAUUAAGGUUGAAACAGCUUUAAAACUUUGGCUGUUCUACCAGGUUGUAAUCAAUUAAGCAUAAAAUUUAAAUGGUUAUUCUGGCUUUAAAGUGUUAGGUUAUCUCUUUGAUUUUAAGUAGUGAAAAGUGUUAAGUUGUGAUUAAUUACUUGGCUGACAAUGCAGAUGUUGUGUUCUGGGCAUAAUUUGGACUCUUAUUAGAAUUUAUGAGUUGAAAUAAACUGCUUUGAGAACUGUGGCACCAUGAAAUAUCCAGAUUGAUUGAACUCCUGAAAGUUAUCAAAUUUCAGAAAUGCAUUGAACUCUUAGCUCUAUAUACAAACCUUUUUCCAGUAUGCAACUUUUUUUCCUGAAUAUAGAUUAAGAAGGUUUACAAUUCAUGCUUCUAAUAUCUCCUAAUGAUUUGGUUUGUUCUCAGAUUACUGACUUGCUUGUUAAUAUCACAAAGCAUGUAUUAAAACCAAAGCAUGAGGUUAUGAGUGAGCGGGAAAAGCAAAAGCUCUUAAAAAAAUACAGUAUUGAAGAAAAGCAGGUUAGCUUUUAAACUCAAGGAAAGCUAUAAUAGUAGUUUCUUGGAAAAUAAUUCGUGUUUGCUUCCUUGAAUCCUUGUUAUGGUUCAAAUUGUUCUCUAUGGACAUUAGCAUCCAUUUAUUAAAUUGAAUGAAUUGAUGGAUGCAUUUAUCACUCUCCCUCACUUCUUCUGUUCUCAUGCCAGCAAGCUCUCAUUUUAUGUUGAUAUCAAAAAUAUUCAUCCAAUAUCUAUUUUAAGAGUAUAAGGUUUUUCUUUUUUGGCUUGAUUGAUUACCGUGAAGAUAAUAAAUUAAAGUUACCCAGCUAUUUUAUUAUAGAUUGCUCGUACUGAAAGUAUCUAUCAUCUAUCUAGAAUUAAGUUGUUAUCUUUGCUUUCAUUGUUCUUUCCCUUUCCAUCAAUAAGCAGGAAAAAAGAAAAAGAAAACAAACAGAAUGAAAGUGGAAGAACCUAAGAAGCCCUCUUCAAAAACUUUGUAGGAUUUUGUCGUUGCGGUCAUGCGGGUAUGCGGUCAUGCAUAAAUAUGAUAAUUAGCUAUAGCUACCUGAUAAGCGACAGUGAAACAAUUUAGUUGUACUGAAAAGGUACCUCCCAAAUUGCCUAAUCAAUAUUGAUAGUGGCACAAGUUCUGGUGUCAAGUAAUAGAGCACAAAUUGGAUGUAUAAUUAAUGACAAACAAAAUUCAAUCGUUACCAUACAACACGGUCGACACUUUGUGCUUUAUAUAAUUUUUAAUUUUUACUUGCAUUUUAGUAUGUGUAUAUGAGUGUUCAUGUUAUUAGUCAAAUGUUAAUAUUGUCAUUUUGAUAGCUUCCUCGACUAUUAAAGAAAGAUGCAAUCGUGAAGUAUUACGGGCUUGAGAAGGGACAGGUGGUGAAAGUUACACACACCGGCGACAUUACUGAGUCGCAUGUUACUUCCCGGUGUGUCUGGUAAUGAAUUGCCUUCGUAAUCUUUUUGUAUCAUCCUUUUCAUGUUGUAGAAUUGAUUGUAUUCUUAUUUCAUGUCAUUUUGGACUCUGCUUGAACUGGCUUGAGGAUUCCUAGUCCCAAUCUUGUACCUCACAAUGAAGGGCAGAGUUAGAAAUUUUUGGUUUUUUAAGGGGCUAAUGUUAUAUAUAAAAUUAAUUUGAAAUUUG